CCCGGCGGAGCGCGGCGGUUGAGGCGACCGGCCGCGGACGGGAGGCCGGGAGGCCGGGCGGGCAGGCGAACGCGAGGGAGCGUUAGACGGGAGCUGACGGGCGCGCGGCCCGGGGCGACGCGGUGAGACGAAAUACACAACCAACUGGACCCUACAGGAUGUGGUUGGUGAUACCUGAUCUAGAUCAUUAUACAACCAGAGCAGGUCACUAGGGGUGGAAUUCCAGAUACCAAGAAGUUCCGUUUAUUACCCACACAGUAUAUGCUACAGCUGUACCCACAAAGUAUACUGCACUUCUUCACUGGAUGACCUUGUGCCACACCGGAAUAGGCUUUGGACACUCUGCAGCUAGACUGACACAAAUAAAAGAGGAUACCAAUAGCUAUCCCAAGGUCUAAACUGGGGUUACUUUUCAAUUUGCGUUUAUUUUUAUAAUUUAUUUUCUUUUAUUUCAUUUGCAUUGGUAUUUUGCCUGUAUGUAUGUCAGUGUAAGAGUGUCAGAUCUCGGUGUUAGAGACAGUUGUUGGCGGCCAUGUAGGUGCUGGGAAUUGAACCUGGGUCCUCUAGAAGAGCAGCUAGUGUUCUUAACCACUAAACCAUCUCUCCAGCCCUUCAAUUUGUGUUUAUUAAGUAACUGUUACACAUACAGAAUGCUGUGUUGGGUAUGGAAGUAAAGAUGAGAAGAAAAGGGGAUUGUAGUGUAAUAUUUUGAUCACAUUCUGACAAUGAAGUUUGCUUUGAAUCAGAGGGCAGAACUAGCUACUAGCUGACUAAAACUAACCCUAGAGGUUUUGGAGGACUGAGGGCAGAUAGAGAGACAGGAAGUAGGGGAGGGGGGCUUAGAGAGGGUCUCAGUCCUUUUGGAUGGAGUAAUGGAAGACAUAGGAGGUCACUGGUCACUUUUCCACUGCUUCUCUGAUCUUUCAGGUGUUUCCCCAGUAUCUGACUCCUAAUUGUUUAUUGAUAAAGAUAAUUAGAUAAAUGCAUCAGGGGAUUACAAGCAAUAUAGAUGUCAGUCCGUGCACCAGGUCAUAAGAAGCAAAGAAAUACGUGGUUCUAGUCCAGGGGCAGAUAGACCAGGGUCUAAAGAGGGAGGGUUGUGCAUCUGAAUUGCCAUGUUGUCUUGGACAGAACACAAAGGUGGUACUGCUGGUUAUUGCCACACACCAAAGGACAGUGUUGCUGAGGUCCAGGGUUCAGGGCAAAAGGGGUCUGCUGAGUCACGUGGGACAAUGAAAUGUGCUAUUUCAUAUUCAUGUUUUUAAUGGACAUAAUUCAGGGUUCAUGAAAUAAAAUACAAAUGGAAAACCA